CGCACGGUGGAUGCCUUGACACUAGGAGUCGAUGAAGGACGGGACUAACGCCGAUAUGCUUCGGGGAGCUGUAAGUAAGCUUUGAUCCGAAGAUUUCCGAAUGGGGAAACCCACCAUACGUAAUGGUAUGGUAUCCUUAUCUGAAUACAUAGGGUAAGGAAGACAGACCCAGGGAACUGAAACAUCUAAGUACCUGGAGGAAGAGAAAGCAAAUGCGAUUUCCUGAGUAGCGGCGAGCGAAACGGAACAUAGCCCAAACCAAGAGGCUUGCCUCUUGGGGUUGUAGGACAUUCUAUACGGAGUUACAAAGGAACGAGGUAGACGAAGCGACCUGGAAAGGUCCGUCGUAGAGGGUAACAACCCCGUAGUCGAAACUUCGUUCUCUCUUGAAUGUAUCCUGAGUACGGCGGAACACGUGAAAUUCCGUCGGAAUCUGGGAGGACCAUCUCCCAAGGCUAAAUACUCCCUAGUGAUCGAUAGUGAACCAGUACCGUGAGGGAAAGGUGAAAAGCACCCCGGAAGGGGAGUGAAAGAGAUCCUGAAACCGUGUGCCUACAAAUAGUCAGAGCCCGUUAACGGGUGAUGGCGUGCCUUUUGUAGAAUGAACCGGCGAGUUACGAUCCCGUGCGAGGUUAAGCUGAAGAGGCGGAGCCGCAGCGAAAGCGAGUCUGAAUAGGGCGUUUAGUACGUGGUCGUAGACCCGAAACCAGGUGAUCUACCCAUGUCCAGGGUGAAGUUCAGGUAACACUGAAUGGAGGCCCGAACCCACGCACGUUGAAAAGUGCGGGGAUGAGGUGUGGGUAGCGGAGAAAUUCCAAUCGAACCUGGAGAUAGCUGGUUCUCCCCGAAAUAGCUUUAGGGCUAGCCUUAAGUGUAAGAGUCUUGGAGGUAGAGCACUGAUUGGACUAGGGGUCCUCAUCGGAUUACCGAAUUCAGUCAAACUCCGAAUGCCAAUGACUUAUCCUUAGGAGUCAGACUGCGAGUGAUAAGAUCCGUAGUCAAAAGGGAAACAGCCCAGACCGCCAGCUAAGGUCCCAAAGUGUGUAUUAAGUGGAAAAGGAUGUGGAGUUGCUUAGACAACUAGGAUGUUGGCUUAGAAGCAGCCACCAUUUAAAGAGUGCGUAAUAGCUCACUAGUCGAGUGACUCUGCGCCGAAAAUGUACCGGGGCUAAAUACACCACCGAAGCUGCGGAUUGAUACCGAAUGGUAUCAGUGGUAGGGGAGCGUUCUAAGGACAGUGAAGUCAGACCGGAAGGACUGGUGGAGUGCUUAGAAGUGAGAAUGCCGGUAUGAGUAGCGAAAGACGGGUGAGAAUCCCGUCCACCGAAUGCCUAAGGUUUCCUGAGGAAGGCUCGUCCGCUCAGGGUUAGUCAGGACCUAAGCCGAGGCCGACAGGCGUAGGCGAUGGACAACAGGUUGAUAUUCCUGUACCACCUCUUUAUCGUUUGAGCAAUGGAGGGACGCAGAAGGAUAGAAGAAGCGUGCGAUUGGUUGUGCACGUCCAAGCAGUUAGGCUGAUAAGUAGGCAAAUCCGCUUAUCGUGAAGGCUGAGCUGUGAUGGGGAAGCUCCUUAUGGAGCGAAGUCUUUGAUUCCCCGCUGCCAAGAAAAGCUUCUAGCGAGAUAAAAGGUGCCUGUACCGCAAACCGACACAGGUAGGCGAGGAGAGAAUCCUAAGGUGUGCGAGAGAACUCUGGUUAAGGAACUCGGCAAAAUGACCCCGUAACUUCGGGAGAAGGGGUGCUUUCUUAACGGAAAGCCGCAGUGAAUAGGCCCAAGCGACUGUUUAGCAAAAACACAGCUCUCUGCGAAGCCGUAAGGCGAAGUAUAGGGGGUGACACCUGCCCGGUGCUGGAAGGUUAAGGAGAGGGGUUAGCGUAAGCGAAGCUCUGAACUGAAGCCCCAGUAAACGGCGGCCGUAACUAUAACGGUCCUAAGGUAGCGAAAUUCCUUGUCGGGUAAGUUCCGACCCGCACGAAAGGUGUAACGAUUUGGGCACUGUCUCAACCAGAGACUCGGUGAAAUUAUAGUACCUGUGAAGAUGCAGGUUACCCGCGACAGGACGGAAAGACCCCGUGGAGCUUUACUGUAGCCUGAUAUUGAAUUUUGGUACAGUUUGUACAGGAUAGGCGGGAGCCUUUGAAACCGGAGCGCUAGCUUCGGUGGAGGCGCUGGUGGGAUACCGCCCUGACUGUAUUGAAAUUCUAACCUACGGGUCUUAUCGACCCGGGAGACAGUGUCAGGUGGGCAGUUUGACUGGGGCGGUCGCCUCCUAAAGUGUAACGGAGGCGCCCAAAGGUUCCCUCAGAAUGGUUGGAAAUCAUUCGUAGAGUGCAAAGGCAUAAGGGAGCUUGACUGCGAGACCUACAAGUCGAGCAGGGACGAAAGUCGGGCUUAGUGAUCCGGUGGUUCCGCAUGGAAGGGCCAUCGCUCAACGGAUAAAAGCUACCCCGGGGAUAACAGGCUUAUCUCCCCCAAGAGUCCACAUCGACGGGGAGGUUUGGCACCUCGAUGUCGGCUCAUCGCAUCCUGGGGCUGUAGUCGGUCCCAAGGGUUGGGCUGUUCGCCCAUUAAAGCGGUACGCGAGCUGGGUUCAGAACGUCGUGAGACAGUUCGGUCCCUAUCCGUCGUGGGCGUAGGAAAUUUGAGAGGAGCUGUCCUUAGUACGAGAGGACCGGGAUGGACGCACCGCUGGUGUACCAGUUGUUCUGCCAAGGGCAUAGCUGGGUAGCUAUGUGCGGAAGGGAUAAGUGCUGAAAGCAUCUAAGCAUGAAGCCCCCCUCAAGAUGAGAUUUCCCAUAGCGUAAGCUAGUAAGAUCCCUGAAAGAUGAUCAGGUUGAUAGGUUCGAGGUGGAAGCAUGGUGACAUGUGGAGCUGACGAAUACUAAUAGAUCGAGGACUUAACCAU
rnacentral:rRNA from 1 species